AUACGGAGGGUGCGAGCGUUAUCCGGAAUUACUGGGUUUAAAGGGUGCGUAGGCGGCUUUGUAAGUCAGGAGUGAAAGUUUGCGGCUCAACCGUAAAAUUGCUUCUGAUACUGCAUGGCUAGAAUUAGGAUGAGGUCAGCGGAAUGUGGCAUGUAGCGGUGAAAUGCAUAGAUAUGCCAUAGAACACCAAUUGCGAAGGCAGCUGACUAGACCUGGAUUGACGCUGAGGCACGAAAGCGUGGGGAGCGAACAGGAUUAGAUACCCUGGUAGUCCACGCCCUAAACGAUGCUUACUCGACGUAUGGCACUAGAUGUUGUGCGUCCAAGGGAAACCGUUAAGUAAGCCACCUGGGGAGUACGACCGCAAGGUUGAA
rnacentral:rRNA from 1 species